rnacentral:rRNA from 1 species
GUGGGGAAUCUUCCGCAAUGGACGAAAGUCUGACGGAGCGACGCCGCGUGAGUGAAGAAGGCCUUCGGGUCGUAAAGCUCUGUCAUCAGGGACGAACGGCCGGUGGAGUGGAAAGCCACCGGAUUGACGGUACCUGAGAAGGAAGCCACGGCUAACUACGUGCCAGCAGCCGCGGUAAUACGUAGGUGGCAAGCGUUGUCCGGAAUUAUUGUGCGUAAAGCGCGCGCAGGUGGGAACUUAAGUCCAUUUUGAAAGUUCGGAGCUCAACUCCGUGAUGGGAUGGAAACUGGGAUUCUUGAGUACCGGAGAGGAAAGCGGAAUUCCCCGUGUAGCGGUGAAAUGCGUAGAUAUGGGGAGGAACACCAGUGGCGAAGGCGGCUUUCUGGACGGUGUCUGACACUGAGGCGCGAAAGCUAGGGGAGCGAACGGGAUUAGAUACCCUGGUAGUCC